rnacentral:lncRNA from 1 species
UUCAUCAGCAUCACCAUGUGGAGUAGCCCGCGCUUGGAGUCGACUUGAGUCAUCUUCCGCAUCACGUGAUUAAUUAUCGCACCUGAAUGAAAUGCAUUAUGCAUAUGAAUGCAUAUAGACAGGAAUAUCAAAAACCCUAAAUAGUGCUACGCGAUGGCGAAUUUAAACACCUAGCGGCGAGGCGUUGUACAAUUUUAUACGGAAUCACUAGUUAUUAAUAUAUGAUUAAGCAAACUAAUUACGCUUCUCGUACCUAACGCAAACAUCAUGAACAACAAACUAUACAAAUUUAAUACAAUUAGUCUAAACACAACUUAUCAGCUAAUUGACUUAAAAAUUUAGCUUUACGAUUCUGGGACACCUAAUGUUUAUAAAAUUAUAGAAGAAACUUUAUUAACCUUCUAAACUAUUUUCCAGAUUAAUUUAUAUAACACAUUAGUUGGUUACGACAUUUAUCGAUCAUAAACAUAGACUGAUUAUACUAAAUACUAGAGCAUGACAUCGACUUCUUUAAACAAACAUCAUUCAUCACAGGCAAUACUGACCACGCCUACCAGUAAAACAUUCAAAACACGAAACCUAUCAUUCGUCUUACUAAUACACCAGGUCGCAAAUAUAGAAACGAUUCAAUCCUACUUCACUUAGGUUUACCCACAUAUUCAUCGCAUAAUAGACAUCUAAACCUAACCUUCACAUGACGACUAAUCUAGGACCGUGAUCACAAGCACUUCACAAACAUCUAAUACACCACAACACGCAUGCUACAGACAGGAUCAUUAUCGACCUGCAUAUAUAACCACUCCGGGCAUAGGACCAAUAACAGUGAAUUGGCUUACCACACUAAACUGAACUCGAUGACCGCGAGAACGACGAUGGUCCUGAUUCAGGCGUUUUGUCGAGCACCAAGCAAGCGUUGCACGAGCAAGAUGACGUCGAGGCGUGGAUCAAAGACGGACAACCGGUCCGAAAGAGCGAAACUCGACGUGGAAGCUCGACACGUCGUGGCGAGCAGAGAACUUCGCGCACAACAACGCGACAGAGGAGAACUUCGCGGCAGCACGCGCAGGAACAACGGAAC